rnacentral:piRNA from 1 species
UGGGUCUUUAGGAUGCAUGUGAGAA